rnacentral:miRNA from 1 species
CUGGGCUACAACUAGAAGGAAG